UGUGUGUUAUCUUUUCUCAUUUUCGUUCACCGCCUGCAGGCCUACUGUUCUUCCUCUCACCCAGAAGGUAAGAUCAUUAACACUGAACAGAGAACGACGUACUAAUAUUAUAUUGUAAACUCUCUGGAAUUUCUCAUUAACGUAAUGCUUUUUUUCAAGUUCACAGAGUGUUUUAGCUACAGCUGUUAUGGCAGGACUGGGUAGGUCCAGAACCUCCAAGGGCCUCUUCCUCAUCAGGCCUGCCCUAAAGCUUUUAUUCUUGUAUUGAGAUAGUUGUCAUACGACAGCACCACUGAUUGAGUGAGUGUGAAUUCUGCCAUUUGGUGGCACUAUUGAUAUGAUAAUAUAUGUCAGAUUGGCACCAUGUUCAUGCUAACGAAAACUCCUUUAAUGAAGAAAAUAAAGCCUAGCCAGGGCUAUGGUCUGGAUGACUUUUUGUAACCAACAAGUAGCCUGAAUAAAACCAGCGGUGUGCCUCGCUGCUGGGGACUGGCAUUAUUGGCCCUUUCUACAGAAGGGCCACGACCUCUGCCACAAGGGAACUGCCCUGUUGUGCAUGAGAGUGGGAUCACUUAUAGAAAAGUGCGGUGGUCUGGUUUUGAACUUUAUCGAAUCGAGAGGGGCAAACAUUUCAUAAAGACCAGGAAGACUGAAGAACAGCAUUCACUGCACAGAUUAAACAAGAAGAAAAAAAAUAAAGUAUGAUGAAUCCUUGAAGAGGCUCCUGAUCGAAAGUAUAAAACAUAAUUUAUCAAACUGUGGCAACAGCGUGAUGCAUGAGUCUGCAUGGACUCCAGUGUCACAGCAUCACUUGUCACAAAUUUUCAUUGAUCAUUUCAUUAACAAUUUGUUCAGAUCCUUUUGAGGAAAUUGAUAUUCCUGCACCUUUCCUCCUACUAACCUGAAUACAUUUUGGUAAACAAAAAAAAAAACUACAAAACUUACGACACUGUCCGAAGUCCCAACUGUUUAUGGUGCCCUCCUUAUUUGGUUUAUUUGAAUUGUCUAACAUAUUGUUGCUGUCCCAGACCUUGACAGUUCUUGAUGGAGCUACUGAUAAGGUGUUCUCUGUUGUACACCUACAAGUGUUAUCAUAUCAUAAAAGUAUAAUAAACUUCCAUGCCAAUGAAAGUGAAAGGACAGGUUCCUACAGGUGAUCUGUGACGUGACAACAAGAGCGUAUAAAACAUUUUUCAUGUGUUAUCUUUUCUCAUUUCGUUCACCACCUGCACGGUUGCUGUCCUUUCUCUCACCCAAAAGGUAAGAUCAUUAACACUGAGUAAUAUGAGCGUUGUGCUAAACAUUAUUAAAUAUUAUAUUGUAAACUCUGUGGAAUUCCUCAUUAACCAUAAUACUUUUAAUGUGUCAAGUUCACAGAGUGUUUUAGCUACAAUUGUGAUGGCAGGACUGGGUAGGUCCAGAACCUCCAAAGGCCUCCUUCUCAUCUUGUCUCUGCUGUGCCUGGUUCAUGUCGCCAGUUCACAGAUAGACAACGACAGACUUUUUCAGGAUGUUUCUGAGACACUUAAGAAAAUGCUCAUGAAAAAAGUUCAGGAAGCAACAGAAGACCUAAACAAAAUGAAGGUAGCAUACGAGAAGAGACUGGCAGAUGCAUCAAGACAACACAAUGAAAGAAAAAAGCAGCUUGACGCUAUUGUGGAAACAGUGAAGGAAGCAUCAGAUGAAUUUCCACCACUGUUAAAACUGCCGAACAUCCUGAAGCAUGUCGUUGAGAUUAUGAAAGCUGACACAGACAGAACGAAUCAUGCCAUGGCCGCAAAUCUGAGAGAGAAGGAAAUGCGACUACAAAACCUAAAAUUAAAAGCGCAACACCCAGUGCAAUUUUAACAGUUUUAGUUUCCAUCUUUAUGGCUGUAUAAUUUUGUGCUACUUUAGUUUUUAUGAAAUGACCCUCAUGAUCAUGGUGGAUCAUGGUUUCCUCUCCGUUUCUGAAUGGCACGCUAUUUUUUGGCACGUUGUGUAAAACUUUGUGAUAUGAAGGUUUUUACUUUUUGUAGUGAUUUAACACAUCAAAUAUCUUUGCUCAGUGAUAGUCUGCAACCCUAUGUUAAUAUUGUCAGAUGGCAUUGCAGUUCUUAAAUUAGGAUUUUAGUUGUUCCAUUACAUGACAACAGAAAAAUAUCUAAGUGAAAACAGGCCUGUUGGGAACUAUAUUCUAAUCCCUACCAUCAUUACAUCUGUGCACAUCUCAAUACUUUGAAUAAUUUUACACUUCGUUUCUUUGGUCCACAUCAGUGGCCUCCUGCAUUAGUGGCAUCACUGGAUGAUUUGAAGCAAGGGACUGGGACUGCACAGGUCAGCUAGCUCGUCUAGCAUAGCUAAAUCAUAUUUCAUCCAUUCAUUGCAUGAUGAAUUGAAUUCAUAAGUGGUUAGAGUGACAUUUAAGAUUCUACCUCUUGAGCAGAGGUUUGGGAGCACAUCAUCUUGAGGAUUUAAUCAUUUCUCAAGGGGGAAAAGACAAAACUAGGUCAUUCAACCAGGAGUGGUUUAAGCAGAAAACUUGGUUAACCGGAGAUCCUCAAAAGGCACUCGUGAGUCUAAUUAAUGUUUUAAUCUAAAUUGAAAUGAUAAUCUAGUUUACAUAUUGUUUGAAUUAUAAUGGAAUUUGAGUAAUGCGUAACUGGCAAUACAUGUCUGAGGGGACACAACCUCAUGGACUCAUGGAUCUGUUUACCUGUCUGUGAAGCUGAAAUGGCUGUUUGGCUGUGUAGUGUAGUAUGUGUGUUGACUUUGUGUAUUGAUUACUGUGUAUUAGGUGUGUGCCAGUCAGGCCACAUUGUGUGCGUUUUUUUUUUUUUUGUUUUUUUUUGUUUUGUUUUUUUUAAUUGUUGUCACAUUAUUGUUUUUGAUCUUGAGUAUAUGACAUAGU